rnacentral:rRNA from 1 species
UACGUAGGUGGCGAGCGUUGUCCGGAUUUACUGGGCGUAAAGGGCGUGCAGGCGGUUUGUUAAGUGCAGGGUGAAAGCUCCCGGCUCAACUGGGAGAGGUCCUUGCAUACUAGCGAACUCGAGGGAGGCAGAGGAAAGUGGAAUUCCCGGUGUAGUGGUGAUAUGCGUAGAUAUCGGGAGGAACACCUGUGGCGAAGGCGGCUUUCUGGGCCUUACCUGACGCUGAGACGCGAAAGCGUGGGGAGCGAACCGG